rnacentral:rRNA from 1 species
GCAAGUCGAACGGUAACGAUGCUAGCAUGCUAGCAGGCGACGAGUGGCGGACGGGUGCGUAACGCGUAGGAAUCUACCUAGAAGCGGGGGAUAACUCGGGGAAAUCCGAGCUAAUACCGCAUGUGCCCUACGGGGUAAAGAGGGGGAUCUUCGGACCUCUCGCUUCUAGAUGUGCCUGCGUCGGAUUAGCUAGUUGGUGAGGUAAUGGCUCACCAAGGCAACGAUCCGUAGCUGGUCUGAGAGGAUGAUC